rnacentral:rRNA from 1 species
UAAGGAAUAUUGGGCAAUGGACGCAAGUCUGACCCAGCCAUGCCGCGUGAAGGAAGAAGGCCCUAGUGGUCGUAAACUUCUUUUAUAUGGGAAAAAUAGCCUGUUCGUGAAAUGGGUUUGAUGGUACUAUAUGAAUAAGCAUCGGCUAACUCCGUGCCAGCAGCCGCGGUAAUACGGAGGAUGCAAGCGUUAUCCGGAUUUAUUGGGUUUAAAGGGUGCGUAGGCGGAGCGAUAAGUCAGCGGUGAAAUCCUACGGCUUAACUGUAGAAUUGCCAUUGAUACUGUCGUUCUUGAGUGCAUUUGAAGAGGGCGGAAUGUGUUGUGUAGCGGUGAAAUGCUUAGAUAUAACACAGAACACCGAUUGCGAAGGCAGCUCUCUAAACUGCAACUGACGCUGAGGCACGAAAGCGUGGGGAUCAAACAGG